CUCUUUCAGCAGCAAGGGCGGGGGGGACCCUCUUGCCCCACCUUACGACAGCACCCCCUGCUGGGACCGGAAUACCUCGAAGCAUUUUCACAAGUCUCUGGAACUCGCACCGGCUGCAAUAACCUCUUUUGGAUUCACACUGCCCUUCUUAACAGCAAAUUGUGCUGAAUAUUGAUACCUGCACUGUUUCUGGCAAUUAUUUAUUUAUUGCACAGCCCCAGCCCCACGGAGACUAGAUGUCCAGUUGCAAAGGAAAAAUUGCAGGUCCUAUGUCAAGCAGAUUUCCAAGCCUAUCAAAUCUAUUUGGAAAAUGGAAAAAAGAGGAGACUGACACCUUACAACCGUUAGCUGCAAAGCUGUCCUCCUACAAGAAGCCAUCAUCACUGCACCUAUGUUGCUGCUUGGCGAUGGCUAUUGCUGCUGACCUGACCGAACCUCUGAGCCACACACUCUGCUCUCCUCUCUUUAUUUGCACUUUGGAAUCAGAAGCCAUCCUUUGUAUUCUUUCCUUCCUGCAUUCUGAGUUGCCAUUUUUGUUAAAUCUCUACAUUUAUGGACCCACCACCUCCCUGAUCUGGUAUUGCUAUGGAAGCUUGGCUCACAACAGUCCAGUUAUUUAAAAAAAACCUGAGGCCCUAGUAGGGAGGGACAUGAGUGGCAGCAGUCCUGAAAGUUGCACCCAUCUGCUUUCUGAGCAACUGCUUGCAUUUCCAGAG